AGAAUCUUAGGUUAUUUUACAACUUUAAAUUUUCAAAAUUUAAGAAGAGAAAAGUUUCUCAGGUUUUA
rnacentral:tRNA from 1 species